rnacentral:rRNA from 1 species
GGGUUGUGAGGUUAAGCGACUAAGCGUACACGGUGGAUGCCCUGGCAGUCAGAGGCGAUGAAGGGCGUGCUAAUCUGCGAUAAGCGCCGGUAAGGUGAUAUGAACCGUUAUAACCGGCGAUACCCGAAUGGGGAAACCCAGUGUGACUCGUCACACUAUCAUUAACUGAAUCCAUAGGUUAAUGAGGCGAACCGGGGGAACUGAAACAUCUAAGUACCCCGAGGAAAAGAAAUCAACCGAGAUUCCCCCAGUAGCGGCGAGCGAACGGGGAGGAGCCCAGAGCCUGAAUCAGCAUGUGUGUUAGUGGAAGCGUCUGGAAAGACGCGCGAUACAGGGUGACAGCCCCGUACACAAAAGCGUAUGUGCUGUGAGCUCGAUGAGUAGGGCGGGACACGUGGUAUCCUGUCUGAAUAUGGGGGGACCAUCCUCCAAGGCUAAAUACUCCUGACUGACCGAUAGUGAACCAGUACCGUGAGGGAAAGGCGAAAAGAACCCCGGCGAGGGGAGUGAAAAAGAACCUGAAACCGUGUACGUACAAGCAGUGGGAGCACAGGUUUACCUGUGUGACUGCGUACCUUUUGUAUAAUGGGUCAGCGACUUAUAUUCUGUAGCAAGGUUAACCGUAUAGGGGAGCCGCAGGGAAACCGAGUCUUAACCGGGCGUUAAGUUGCAGGGUAUAGACCCGAAACCCGGUGAUCUAGUCAUGGGCAGGUUGAAGGUUGGGUAACACUAACUGGAGGACCGAACCGACUAAUGUUGAAAAAUUAGCGGAUGACCUGUGGCUGGGGGUGAAAGGCCAAUCAAACCGGGAGAUAGCUGGUUCUCCCCGAAAGCUAUUUAGGUAGCGCCUCGUGAAUUCAUCUCCGGGGGUAGAGCACUGUUUCGGCUAGGGGGCCAUCCCGGCUUACCAACCCGAUGCAAACUGCGAAUACCGGAGAAUGUUAUCACGGGAGACACACGGCGGGUGCUAACGUCCGUCGUGAAGAGGGAAACAACCCAGACCGCCAGCUAAGGUCCCAAAGUCAUGGUUAAGUGGGAAACGAUGUGGGAAGGCCCAGACAGCCAGGAUGUUGGCUUAGAAGCAGCCAUCAUUUAAAGAAAGCGUAAUAGCUCACUGGUCGAGUCGGCCUGCGCGGAAGAUGUAACGGGGCUAAACCAUGCACCGAAGCUGCGGCAGCGACACUGUGUGUUGUUGGGUAGGGGAGCGUUCUGUAAGCCUGUGAAGGUGGCCUGUGA